rnacentral:rRNA from 1 species
ACGGGGUAGCAAUACCUAGUGGCGGACGGGUGAGUAACGCGUGAGAACCUGUCUCGAGGUGGGGGACAACAGUUGGAAACGACUGCUAAUACCCCAUAUACCGAGAGGUGAAAGAUUUAUCGCCUUGAGGGGGGCUCGCGUCCGAUUAGCUCGUUGGUGGGGUAACGGCCUACCAAGGCGACGAUCGGUAGCUGGUUUGAGAGGACGACCAGCCACACUGGGACUGAGACACGGCCCAGACUCCUACGGGAGGCAGCAGUGGGGAAUUUUCCGCAAUGGGCGCAAGCCUGACGGAGCAACGCCGCGUGUGGGAUGAAGGCCUGUGGGUUGUAAACCACUUUUCUCAGGGACGAAGCUCUGACGGUACCUGAGGAAUCAGCCUCGGCUAACUCUGUGCCAGCAGCCGCGGUAAGACAGAGGAGGCAAGCGUUAUCCGGAAUUAUUGGGCGUAAAGCGUCCGUAGGUGGUUUGACAAGUCUGGGGUUAAAGCCCGGAGCCCAACUCCGGAUCGGCCCUGGAAACUGUCAGACUUGAGUAAGGUAGGGGUUGCGGGAAUUUCCGGUGUAGCGGUGGAAUGUGCAGAGAUCGGAAAGAACACCAGUGGCGAACGCAGGUUUCUGGUCGGUAACUGACGCUGAUGCACGAAAGCGUGGGGAGCAAACAGGAUUA